GAUGAACGCUAGCUACAGGCUUAACACAUGCAAGUCGAGGGGAAACGACAUUGAAGCUUGCUUCGAUGGUCGUCGACCGGCGCACGGGUGAGUAACGCGUAUCCAACCUGCCUCUGGCCAAGGGAUAACCCGUCGAAAGUCGGCCUAAUACCUUAUGCAGUCGUCGGAAGUCAUCUGAUGACGACGAAAGAUUUCAUCGGUGAGAGAUGGGGAUGCGUCUGAUUAGCUUGUUGGCGGGGUAACGGCCCACCAAGGCAACGAUCAGUAGGGGUUCUGAGAGGAAGGUCCCCCACAUUGGAACUGAGACACGGUCCAAACUCCUACGGGAGGCAGCAGUGAGGAAUAUUGGUCAAUGGGCGAGAGCCUGAACCAGCCAAGUAGCGUGCAGGAUGACGGCCCUAUGGGUUGUAAACUGCUUUUAUGCGGGGAUAAAGUGAGGGACGUGUCCUUCAUUGCAGGUACCGCAUGAAUAAGGACCGGCUAAUUCCGUG
rnacentral:rRNA from 1 species